rnacentral:rRNA from 1 species
AUACGUAGGGGGCGAGCGUUGUCCGGAAUGAUUGGGCGUAAAGGGCGCGUAGGCGGCCCGGUAAGUCUGGAGUGAAAGUCCUGUUUUUAAGAUGGGAAUUGCUUUGGAUACUGUCGGGCUUGAGUGCAGGAGAGGUAAGUGGAAUUCCCAGUGUAGCGGUGAAAUGCGUAGAGAUUGGGAGGAACACCAGUGGCGAAGGCGACUUACUGGACUGCAACUGACGCUGAGGCGCGAAAGUGUGGGGAGCAAACAGGAUUAGAUACCCUGGUAGUCCACACUGUAAACGAUGAAUGCUAGGUGUAGGGGGUAUCGACCCCUUCUGUGCCGCAGUCAACACAAUAAGCAUUCCGCCUGGGGAGUACGGCCGCAAGGUUGAAACUCAAAUGAAUUGACGGGG